GGUGCGGGCAGCGCGGAGCAGCUUGGCUCAGCGGCCGGCCCGGCUGCCGGGUGCAGGCAGCGGCAGAGCAACUCGGAAUGUAUAGCACCAAUAAUAUAGAACAAUCAUUCCGAGUAUUCCUUGCCCAAGUUAUCGCCAAGUUCAAAUGCCUCUGGCACCUACCACCUCGUCCCCUUGGCAUCAUUCACAGCUGGAUGUCCCUCAGCAUCACCCCUGGUUAACAACUGGUGGCUUCGGCUGCCCUUUCCCAACGCAUUCCCUUAUUUUCAUGCUCCAGUUUUGUCAAACGUAACCUCAGAGCAGGACAUGCUGGAUGGGGACGGUUUAGCCUCGACACCAAAACAACACCUUUCUGGACACAACUAAUAGAGGUCAGCAGUAAAUGGCCUUCCUCUCAAAGCUGAGGCCAACAUGCAAUACAUUGAAAGCCUCCACCACCUCUCUGUGUUAUCGUUCCAAAAGACAAAAUGUACCUUAUUCACGCUCCUCGACCUUCCGGCCACACAUCUUUUGUUUGUAUCUCUCACCCUUUGCUCAGGCCUCUGUUGCGCCAGUAGUAAAAGCAACAAAGACAGCAGCCAAACCCAACCCCUGCCUCAGGUCACCCCUUUCCCUGCUGUGUCCCCAACAACACUGCAGGAACAGAUUUUGCUCAUGGCCAUGGGCAAGCAUGAAUUCUCGAGGAACUUGGAGCUGCCUUUGCAAAAAUCACUCCAGUUUGGAAGUGAAAAGGCCAAGAGUGCACGCUCCCAGCUGGCCGGGUGCCAGGCUGAUAGCCUUGUCACAGAAACGCCAGCCAACGAGUAAGGGCGAUGGGUGGAAAUGAGUGCAAAUCCCUGGUGACGGCGUGACACACAUGAAACACAUCCUGCUUCCAGCAGAGCAGGCAUGAGCUGCUGCCAAACAGCCUUUGAAACCUCAGCCCUUGGUGUGCGGCGUGUAUUUACGUAGUUUGCUCCAGCUCUGACAGUGAGCAGAGCUGUGCUUACUCAGCCC
rnacentral:lncRNA from 1 species